UCGAGUCGCUGAUCAUUCAUUUCCGGUUCUUCUGUCGUUGUGGAUUCGUGAUGAUGAUAUUCAGAUGGAUAUUUGCUAAUCAUUGGUUUAGAUGAUUCAUCAUCGAAAAAUUCUGAUGGACUGUAUUCGUACAUACCAGAGAAGAUUGGACCGAGAAAGGUGGAUGAAAUCGAUGUUGAAUCAAUUUUUUGCUUGUAACGUCUAGCUUGGCUAUCAUGUCAUUAUCCAGCGUAGAAUAUCUGCACAUAAAUAUAUUAAUAAUCAAUAAAUUAUUGAUACAAGUUUUUAUAUUACUGUUAUAUUCGCUGUUAUAUUUCAAUACUUGAAUUUUUACUUUGGAGUGAUUGAAUAAUUAAUUGCUUCUCCUUUCUGUAAUUUUGGAGCCUUGAUUGGCAUAUAAACAGGUGAUACUGUGAUAACAACAUCGGUUAUACUUCUCUCUUUAUUUUCGUUUUCCACGCUCCUAUUGCUUUUCAUUGAUAGCCUAAGUGCACAAAUGUUGUUUGAGAUAUUCAAUCCUUAUAAAAAUAUUUUUAAAAAAUAUCUGAUUACAUUUGAUUAUUAGUAGUAGAAUUGAAAUUAGUAUUGAUGUGUGUGUGUGUAUACACACACAUAUAUAAUAUGUACCUAGUAAUCCACGGAGAAGUAUCAUGAGAGCUUCUUGCUAAUUGUCCGUUCUUCGAUACUCUUGCGUAUGACAUUAUUUCUGAUGACAUAACAGAAGACAAGUAUAGAAAGAGAACCAAAGUUAAAAUACGUAACAUUAUACUUGCUGAUCGUUGAAAAUGAAUGACUAUGGUCCUGAAGCGAAUGUCCUCUAUAUAGACUUAUAACUGUAACUACUAUUUGAGCAGUCGGAAAUAUAUUGUCUAUAUACAUUUAGCAUUGUUAAAGACAACUAUCGGAUCCUUUUGUUAUUGUAUAAGUUUAUACAUAUAUUGUAGAUAAUAUCUUUGUCAUAUGAUACAUUAUUCAUUCUCAGCAAAACGAUGCCAAAUUAAACAAUGUUAAUGCUUAUCAUAAAUUAUUAUUUUAUGAUUACAUGCGCGCGCGCGCGCACACA